GGGUUACUGAUGGAAGCAGCUUUGUGAGACAAGGAAACCGUAAGGCAGGAUAUGCAGGAACUGCUACUGACAAGAUUCACCUCUGGAACCAAAGUGGGAAGGACCCUACCAAAUUCUCCUGACCACCCAUACCACCGCCAAGGUAGAGGGACUUACACUGUGGAUACGUCAUACCUGCCUGAAGAAAGCACCAGGACCACAGAGAACAGCAGAAUAGAGCGGACCACUGGAAUUCAGGAUCCAAAAGCAUGCAUAAGAUUUUGAUAAUAGUCAGCAUGAUUGGAGCAGUAGUCACAGCUUGACAAGAGAAUAGCUACUUAAAAAAUAACUGAUAAAAUUGGCCAGGCUCUCAACAAAUCUGGUUGGAUAUGCACUGCCUUCCCCAGAGGGGAGGGAAAGGUGCCUUUUUAUGGGAUAGUGGCACUAAAUUGGACAAUUCCAGAUUGGGUAGAGCACGGAAAGUGUAAGUUUGGGAUAGAAGACAAGUCACAAAAGGGACCUAAGUUUGAUUUACUAGAUAUUAACUUUACUAGAUCUAUCUUUGUAGACAGAAAAACUGAUGGUAAAGGUGGGGUGGGGGUUGGAUGACGGAACUUGACAGGCAGAGAGUGUAGUUGGGAAUAUGGAAAUUUUAGGGCAAUAUCAGAGGUCAGUGAAGCUGGAAGGUGGAACCAAGGGGAGGGGUGUGAUCCUAGAAUCGAUAAAGAGUCAUAUUGGGCCUCAGAUAAGAACAGACUCGGAAUAGUAGGGAUGGGAGCAUCACUCACUCAUCAGGAAAAUAUGGCCAGGCCAUUUAAGUUACCUCAUGGAUACCGGUGGCUAUGUGGAGACGGCCAGGCACGAAAGGCAUUACCUUUAAAUUGGACAAGGACUUGCACUACAGGAUACUUAAUACCCCAGACCACGGUGCAUGAGGAAAUCCCUUGGGGACUCCUGAGAACCCCUUGAAUUAGAACUAAGCAUACAUACAACCCCCUAGCUAUAUAUAACAAGGGAUACCACAGUUUUCUGAGAGCUCUUAUCCCAGCUCUAGGAGUUAUCCAGCUAGAAAAAGCUAUAGUAAAUAUCUCUGCAACUCUGGAAAUCAUGGAGAGUGCCGCAACAGAUGCACUACGGGCAAUCCAAGAAGAGGUCUCCUCCUUAUCCAAAGUAGUACUCCAAAAUAGGAUGGCAUUAGACCUAUUAACAGCCAAGGAAGGAGGGGUAUGCACAAUAAUAAAUCAGAGUUGCUGUGCUUACAUCAGUAGGGAUUUAAGAACUGAAACAGAUUUAAGGAAAGUUUGAGAACAGACAAAAGUCCUACAUAGGACAAGUCAGGAUGACACCAACUGGAAGGAAGAUUUAUGGAACUUGCUUACUAGCUGGCUACCAAAUCUAGGAUGGUUAAAGCAGCUCUUCCUAGUUUGUAUCAUCUUAGUACUGAUUGUUGGUUUUACCCGUGUGAUGAUAAAGUGCUCUGCCUGCCUGUGCCGAAAUACAAGAAAAGAAUACGAGAUAUGGAAGAAACAUGAGCUAAGGCAAAAGGUGGAAAGUGGGACCUAUUUUGGGACACAUAGAAUAGAUUAGAGAAUCUAGCAGGUAGAAGUCCUGCAAGAUUAUAGAAAAGGGGGGAAUUGAAGGGCAAAAUCGGGUCCCUGCAGUAUAGAAAGAAGGGCUUCAUAGCAGGAAAAGAGAAAGCAGCUUCACAAGGUAGACAUAAGGGGCAAAUAGAGAUAGUUUACGUAGAGAGUAUUAGAAAACAAGGGAUUCCAAGCACUUUCACAGGCGCUAGGUCCAGAAUAACAAGGAGAAUGAAGGCCAUAAGGAUAAGGACCGGAGAACAGCUCGAAAACAGAACAGCUGCGCAUAAGCCAGCCAAGGGGAUGGGGGGAGCGGCACCUGGCUAAGUGGGGGAUGCCAAAGCAUCGCCUUGGAAGCCUUAGGAACCAACAGCAACGAGGGCCUGCAGCCAUCUGAGCCCAGGCUAGGACCUGCCUUCUCACGGCGCAGCAGGGCAGGCUGCGGGCACUGCUGGGCACAGAUCCCAAGCAGAAUGCAACCGCUUCAGGAAGCGGUGUCGGACAUUCUCACGGGCUGCACCGGGCAGAGCAGAGCAGAGCAGAGCAGAGCGGGACGGUCCUUUCCUGGGGAGUGCUGGGCCUGAUGCGCCCCAGGGUACGGUUGGCCCUUUGGGCUGUCGGGGCACGCUGCCGGCUCAGAUGCAACUUGCCGUUCACCAGAACCCCCAGAGCCCUUUUGUGGGGCUGCUCUGCAGCCUCCCCUCCCGCAGGGUGUGCACAGAGCCACGGCUGUCCCAUCCCAGCGGCAGAAUCCACCACUUGCUCUCGUUAACUUCCUAUCAACUGCGCAGUUGCCCAGCCCUCCAAUUUGUCAGCAUCUCUCUGCAGCUCCUCCCAGUUGAGUGUUGUUUGCAGACGGUACUGCAAUGACAUUUAAUCAAAAAUCCCAGGAAACACUGACAGGCAUUCCUUGUAAUGAGAACCCCUUUAAUAUCGUUAGCACAAAAC
ensembl:lncRNA